rnacentral:rRNA from 1 species
UACGUAGGGUCCGAGCGUUGUCCGGAAUUAUUGGGCGUAAAGGGCUCGUAAGCGGUUUGUCGCGUCGGGAGUGAAAACACGGGGCUUAACCCCGUGCCUGCUUCCGAUACGGGCAGACUAGAGGUAUGCAGGGGAGAACGGAAUUCCUGGUGUAGCGGUGAAAUGCGCAGAUAUCAGGAGGAACACCGGUGGCGAAGGCGGUUCUCUGGGCAUUACCUGACGCUGAGGAGCGAAAGUGUGGGGAGCGAACAGG